UCCUGGCUCAGGAUGAACGCUAGCGACAGGCUUAACACAUGCAAGUCGAGGGGCAGCAUAAAAGUAGCAAUACUUGGUGGCGACCGGCGCACGGGUGAGUAACGCGUAUGCAACCUACCUAUCAGAGGGGAAUAACCCGGCGAAAGUCGGACUAAUACCGCAUAAAACAGGGGCACCGCAUGGUGAUAUUUGUUAAAGAAAUUCGCUGAUAGAUGGGCAUGCGUUCCAUUAGGUAGUUGGUGAGGUAACGGCUCACCAAGCCGACGAUGGAUAGGGGAACUGAGAGGUUGGUCCCCCACACUGGUACUGAGACACGGACCAGACUCCUACGGGAGGCAGCAGUGAGGAAUAUUGGUCAAUGGGCGGGAGCCUGAACCAGCCAAGUCGCGUGAAAGGAAGAAGGAUCUAUGGUUCGUAAACUUCUUUUGCAGGGGAAUAAAGUGCAGGACGUGUCCUGUUUUGUAUGUACCCUGAGAAUAAGGAUCGGCUAACUCCGUGCCAGCAGCUGC
rnacentral:rRNA from 1 species